CGGGCCAGCAGCAGCAACCUGCUCAGGUCCCCUUCCAUGGUGUGGAAGCUUUGUUCUUUCGCUGUUCACAAUGAAUCUUGCUGCUGCUCACUCUUUGGGUCCGCACUAGCUUUAUGAGCUGUAACGCUCACUGCGAAGGUCUGUGGCUUCACUCCUGAAGUCAGCAAGACCACGAACCCACCGGAAGGAGGAAACAACUCCGGAAGCACCACGUUUAAGAGCUGUAACACUCACUGCGAAAGUCUGCAGCUUCACUCCUGAAGUCAGCAAGACCACAAACCCACCGGAAGGAAGAAAUUCCAGACACAUCUAAACAUUGGAAGGAACAAACUCCAGACACACUAUCUUUAAGAACUGUAACACUCACCGCGAGGGUCUGUGGCUUCAUGCUUGAAGUCAGCCGGACCAAGAACCCACCGGAAAGAACCAAUUCCUGACACAAUCAGACAGAGAAUGCUGAUUCACUAUGCAGUGAAACAUGCCUAACGUGUCAACAGCUAAAUGCCCGGUGACAGUGUGGUUGUCUGGGCAACAGAAGAAGUCACCCACGCAAACACUUAAAGGACCAUACUUAUUUUACAAGAGGAACAGUUUUCAAUGGAAUGGAUAUUAAAACACACACCUGGAUCCCUUUACCACAGGUGCUUUGAGAGGCACCAUCAAGGACAGUGAGCUAACGCAGGAGAAUGGAGUCCCAGAAACCUAGGAGGAGAAGACAAAGUGUCAGCCUCUCGGCAUCUGCAGUGUUGCUAGGAAAAGAGCUCUGAUCCCAGGGGCUUACCCACUUCCACAGGUAGGAAGCGUCCCUGAGAGGACUGGAACAUUAGCAUAUCUCAGAUCCAUCUGCAAAACUUUUGCAAACACGGAACUCCCUCGUUCUAAUCUUAUCAGCAACUUCCAGAGCUGAACCUUGAUUAAUCUGGAUACAAAAAGGAUUGAAACGCCACAUAAUAAGCAUUAACAGGAGGGUGUUUCCUUUAUCAAUGAAGCUUGAUUUAUCCAUGAUGAUCUAGUGCAUUCUCCUCCCAAAAAUCAGGAUCAUCCUCUGCAUAUGAAGGAACAGACAAGCCCUCAGCUCUACCACUUUGGAGAGGGGGGGAUUGGACAGCAUGAGCCUUCAAUUGUAUCUCUUGGAUGACCAAGGAAGGCUGGAUUUCUGCACCUAAAAAAUGGAAGCACAAACUGUACAACAAAUACUCUCCAUUCAAGUUGAAGUUCUCAAAUAAGGUUCUUUUCAAGGUGUUGGUGACACAGAUAUGAGGAAAACAGAGUUGACUCAUGGUGAUGGAGCUUACAUUCUAUGGGGCAAGAGUGAGCAGAGGGUAAAUCAUGAAAUAAAGAACUUACUAUAGACACAUAUUGUGGGGAAAAUACAGCAGCAGAAGAUAAUAGGAAGUGUCAGGACAUUUGGAGUGGCUAAAUCUGCUGUUUUUUUUUUUUUUCCAGAAUGUGGACAAGAAGACAUCUUCAAUAAAGUGACAUUUAUAUAGAGACAUAAAGAAAUGGAGGGGGAGCCAUGCAUAUCAAGGAACAUAAGUGCAAAGGCCUUGAGUUAGAAUCCUGUAGGGUGAUUUGUAGAAACAGUAAGGCCAGAGAGGAACACAGCUGGAACAGAGUGAAUUAGGAGAUGUGAACAGAAAGGUCGCAGGGAGUCAGGUUAUUUAGGACUCUGUAGGCCAUUGUAAAUAUUUGGGAUGGGACACUGGGCAGAGGAGUAACAUCAUCUCAUUUCAGUUUUGAAAGGUUCACUCCAGCUACUCUGUUGACAAUGGAUUAUAGAAGACUGAACAUGGAAUCCAGGAGACCAGUCAGAAAACUUCUUCAGGAAUCCAGCACAGUCUUGGCCUGUUCUGGAGAAUGCUCCCCAUCAAAAAUAAUUGACUGGAGACAAGCCAAGUCAGGAUUCUCCCUGGGAUCAAUUUCUGAUGGCGCUUUCUUCAUAAACAGGGGGACCUUUUCAAAUUCCUCUUCCCACUGGUCCUCAUGAAAGCCGCCACGGUAAGGCUGGCUCUGGAACUUUUCCAGGAACAAGUCCGUGGCAUCGUCUGAGGUGGGGUCCUGCUCAGGUUACUCCAUAACUGAUGCCCUGCCCUCCAGCCCAGGUCCCGGCACCGUGAAGUGUAGAAAAUACUCUACAAUGAAUAAAAAUAAAAUACAAUAUUCAAGAUUUAUGAAUGCAAUAAAAGCAGUGGUCAGAAGGAACAUUUAAGCUCUAAACACAUUAAAAAAGAAGAAUGAUAUUAAUAGAAAAUCUAAUUGUGUAUCUUACAUAACUAGAAAAUGAAAAGCAGUCUAAAGCCAAAGCAUGAAGGAGGUAGGAAAUAAUGAUUAGAGGAAACAUAAAUGACAUAGAGAAUAGAAAAACAAGAGAGAGUAUCAAUGAACCUAAAAUUUGGUUCUUUAAAAAGAUUACCAGAUUUGACAAACCUUUAGCUAUACUAAUAAUAGAAGACUAAAAUAAAUAAAAUUAAAAAUGAAAUCAUAGACAUUAUAACUGAUACCAUAGAAAUACAAAGGAUCAAAAGAAACUACUAAUGAACAAUUAUAUGCCAACAAAUUGGAUUACCUACAGGAAAUUGAUGAAUUCCUACAACAUACAACCUACCAACGCUGAAUCAUGAAGAAAUAGAAAAUCUAAACAGACCAAUAGUGAGUAAAGAGAUUGAGUCUGUAAUCAAAAAUCUUACAAAAAAGAAAAGCUCAGUAUCAGACAGCUUCACUGAUGAGUUCUAUCAGUCCUUUAAUGAAAAUUUAUACCAAUCAUUGCCAAACUCUUUCAUAAAAUUGAAGAGAUGAGAAUAGUUCAUAAUUCAUUGUAUGAGGCUGGCAUUACGUAGAUACAAAGCCAGACAAAGACAUUACAAGAUUGUCUCUUUUAAGUAUAGAUGCAAAGCCUCUUGAUAAAAUCCUAUCAAACUGAAUACAGCAGCAUAUUAAAGGGAUCAUACUCCAUGACAAAUGGGAUUUAUCUCAGUAAUGCAAGAAUGGUUCAACGUAUGAAAAUCACUCAAUGUAAGAAACCACAUGAAUAGAAUGAAGGGAGAAAAAAGACCCCAAAAUAUACGAACAUUUCAGUUGAUGCAGAGGAAUCAUUUGAUAAAGUUCAACAUUCUUUUAAAACACUCAGUAAAUGAAGAAUAAAAGAUAUCUUCCAUAACACGAUAAAGGUGAUAUAUGAAAAACCCACAGCUAACAUCACACCCAAUAUUGAAAGACUCAAAGCUUUCCCUUAACAAUGGGAACGAGAGCAGGAUUCCUACUGUCGCUAUUUUUACUCAAUAUAGUAGUAGAAAUUCUAGCCAGAGCAAUUAGAGAAGUCAAAUAAAUGAAAAUCUUACAAAUUGAAAAGAGAGAAGUUCUCCAUUCACAGAUGACCUGGUCUUAUGUGUAGAAAGCUCUAAGGAUUUAAUAACAAAACUAUUAGAGCUAAUAAAUGAAUUAAGCAAAGUUGUAGGACAAAAAAACAAUAAACAAAAUCAGUUGUGUUUCUAUACACUAGAAAUAAGCAAUAGGACAAGUUUUUUAAAACUUUCUUUUUAUAGUAGCAUCUGAAAGAACAGAUAUGUAGGAAUUUAAUCGGAAAUUAAAGACGUACUGAAAACUACAAAACAUUGCUGAAAUAAAGAAGUCAUAAAUCAAUGGAAUGUGUUCAUGGUGUAAGAUUUAAUAUUGUUAAGGUGAUAAUGCUACUCGAUUUGCUUUGCUAAUCAAAGCAAUCUACAGAUUGAAUCCAACAAUUUUUUUUUUCUUGUGGAAAUAGAAAACCCAUUCUAAAGUUCAUAUGAAAUCUUAAGGGACCUUGCAUAGCCAAAACAAUCUUGAAAAGAAUAAAUGUGGACAACUCACAUUUCCUGAUUUCAAAACUUAUCACAAAGAUACAGUAAUCAAAACAGUGAGGUACUUGUAUAAAGACAGACAUACAGACCAAUAGAUUUGAAUAGAUAUUCCAGAAGUAAACUCUCACAUACACAGACAAUUGAUUUUUGACAAGGGCACAAAAGCCAUUCAAUGGGGAAAAGGACAAUCUUUUCAACAAAUGGUGCUGGGAAAACUGUGUAUCCACAUGUAAAAAAAUGAAGUCAAACCUUUUCCUCAAAUUAUAUACAGAAAUUCACCAAAAAUGAAUAAAAUACUUAAAUAUAAGAACUAAAACUAUAAAACUCUUAGAGGAAAACAUACAACUAAAUCUUCAUGAUAUUAAUUUCUUAGAUAUGACACCAAAAGGAUGAGGAAUAACAAAAAUAGAUAAACUGAAGGGUAGAAAGCAAAGUGAUAAUGGAAGAUGAGAGUCGAGUGAUGUGACCAGGAGCCAAGGAAUGCCAUGGCCUCUAGAUGUGGGGAGUUAAGGGACCAAUUUUCCCUGGAAACUCCUGAAGGAACUUGCCAUGCCAACACCUUGAUUAUAGCCCUUUAAGAUACAUUUUGGACUGUUGAUCUCCAGGAUUGUAAGAUAAUACAUUCGUGUUGAUUUAAGCCACUGAAUAUGUGGUGAUUUGUUACAGCAGCAAUAGUAAACUGAUACACAAUCUCAAUGAAAGUAGGGAUUUCUGUCUUCCCACACCCUGCUCACUUCACUAGAGAAUUUAUAGCACUUAGUGUAUUCUUCGAUAAAUAUUUGUUGAGUAAGAUGAAUGAAGCCAGACUUUAGAGUCAGAUUACACUUGGCUGGUUAACUGUUGUGAGGAAAGCAGUUGAAAGUUCUCUUGGCCUUGCUUCUACUUGCACUGGGAAGCACUGUCAUCAAUGAAGGGGUUGCUGUGGGUUUCAAGAGAAAAGAAAAGGUGUGAGAAUCUCCCAGGUACAGUGGGAGCUCAUCUGGACUAGGGAAAUAAAAUAGGAUUGCUUGGUUAUUGCUCACUUGGUCACUAAUAUAACAUGAAUUGAGACAGUAUGGUUGUAUAUUUUUCUCCAAUUAAGGUUAUGGGGUGGCAUGGCCUAGGGGAAGUUACUUAUUUUGCAAGGGUGAUUUGAUAGAGGCAGCAAGCCAGGUAGCUGGGAUGUUUGCAAGGGCAUGAUCAUAAUGGUGUACCAUGCAAUUUAAGCAGGGGCAGGUGGAAAUAAGGACUUGAUGUGAUAUGUUCAGAUCCAUGAAUAAGACAUCAUAACAGGAGUCACAGUAUUGUCAGACUAGAAGUACUGGAGGAAGGGAGCUGGACAUUUGAAAGAGAUGGGAGGGUGGAAUGUUUGAGAUUGAGUGAAUGGAGGUGCUGUGUUCAUUUGGUCAUGCUAAGGUCUUGGGGUGGCCAUGGGAGGGGUGGGUGGCUGAGGUGGGGCAGAGGACAGACUCAUCUGGAGAUGAUGCAAUAAAUGAAGGGGAAAGCUAGGCCCUGCAAGGAGCUCUCUUGUGUGUAUUAAAAUCAUCAAAAACUGUGGCAGGAGUGAUUGCAGAGAUCCUAGUGACCCAUGAUCAAGGAAUGAAGAGGAAGACCAGCGGUCUAGAGAUUACUGCACAUGUGGGGUGGGAAGAGGGCGGUAACAGAUGACAAUCAUUAAUUUGAUAAAAAAGUAUUGAAUGUCUGCUCUGUGCCAGGCACAUGGUGGUAGGGUCUGAUGGGAGGUUAAAGGGAAGAGAGGUGGAUAAUGUUCUGGAGAUUUCAAUGAGCAAGAAGGGUAUUUAGCCCACAUUGAGGCCCAACAGAUUGAAGCCUUAAAAGAAAACAGCAACACCUGAGAAGGAUGCCAGGAAAUGAGUCCUAGGGGUACAUGUGGAGUCAGCUGGAGCACAUCCAGGAAGAAGGACAGAAGAAAGACUGUGAAGGACUUGAGUCAGGGAGGGGUGUGAGCUGACUCAGAAAGGGUGAUGCAUGGGUAGGCCAUGGGGUGAGGGAUGAACGGGAGUCUUGGAUUUCCUGUGGUCACUCAGGGAAACCCAGCAGCUAAAAGUAAGUGAUUUAAGCAAAUGAAUGGACAGAUGAAUUAAUGAAUAGACUAAAGAUGGACAAAUGCUUCCACCAGCCUUGCUUCAGGCCCUAUUUAGAACUGAAGUUGACUUCCUCUUUCUUUUAAUAGCUGCAAAAAUGAUGAAUUUGAUUUUCGUCUCUAGAAGCAAUUUCCUUUUUAAAUCAGGUGAGGAUCUUGGCAGAUGCGAAGAAUCUUUCAGAACCUGCAUGUAUAUGAGAAAGGGAUAUGACAGCAUGAAGUUCUCCUGUUUGAAGAAGCUAAAUGGAGCCACUUUUUGACUCAGUUGACUGGGACCUGGAGCUGGUGCACUAUUUGAAUUGCAUGGUGUGCCUGCCGCUGCCUUUUGACUUCUCCAGCCUGUACACCUGCCUUUUUGGGGAGAACUGUGGUAACAUAUGGGGAGGCGUCCUGUAUUUUCUGCAAUAUCUGACAAAGAAAAACUAGUUGGUUCAUAUGUAUAUAUGAUCUUUCAACAAGAACGUCAAAUAAAUAUCUUCACUCCUUGGGGAGAAGCAGGUCAGAGCCCCACUGUCUCAGCUAGCUCUCACUUGGCUGUCUUGUUUUGGGGCUGGAAGGCCACACUGUGUUUCCUGGGGUAGAGGCGGAGUCUGGGCAUUCUCCCUUUGUAGCUGAGAGCUAAGAGCAGUUGUGUCUGCUUUGAUAAAAUAAAGUUAUUUUUUAGUUUAGUCUGAUCUCCAAAUCCUUCCCUUUCAGAUACCUCUGCCAUCCAAGAUCAGGGGAUACUAAAUUUUCAAAGCAUUUUCUCAGGAGUUGCAUGAGAAAACAUACACCUGCUCUUGUUUUCAAGGGGUGUGGGCAAGAAGUAAAAAGGACAAACUGUUAAUGAGAACACUUUCUGUAUUCCUCCCUCCCCACUGAUACAUACCAGUACCAUAAAAUUUAAAAUGAGUCAAAUGACUGCAGUAAGACUUUACUUUGGUAUACGAGGCAAAAUGUUGGACAUGGGUGCUAAUUAAUCAUCAGAGAGUUACAGGGGAACCUGGACGAAUUAAGACUGGGGCAAGAGACAGCUCAUCAAGGAUCUUGCCCUGUAGCUCAAGAAGAAAAUGUUUAACUUAGUUGCCUGGACACUCUGAGGAUAGAAUGAAAUGCUGUAUGCGACCUGUUGGCCUUGGAAGCCGGCAUGGAUUCAGCACCCAGGGUUGGGGUGAACCUUCUCUCCCUCACUGUGUCAGGCAUCUUAGUCUGCCCCAGGAUGUGCAGGCUGCCUGUCCCUGGCCUCACAUCCUGCUGUAAGUGGGAUUGUGACCCCCUGAAAUGCAUAUGUUGAAGCCCUAACUGCCUCUGUGAUGGUAUUUGGAGGUGAAGCCUUUGGGAGAUAAUUAGGGUUAGAUGAAGUCCUAAGGACCUCCAUGAUGGGAUUAGUGUCCUUACAAGAAGAGGAAGAGACACCAGAGCUUCCCCUCUCUCACCUGUGAGGACAGAGGUAGCAGGUGGCUGUG
rnacentral:lncRNA from 10 species